UACGUAGGUGACCAGCGUUGUCCGGAUUUACUGGGCGUAAAGAGCGCGCAGGCGGUCGUUCAAGUCGAGUGUGAAAGCCCCCGGCUCAACUGGGGAGGGUCACUCGAUACUGAUCGACUUGAAGGCAGGAGAGGGAAGCGGAAUUCCCGGUGUAGUGGUGAAAUGCGUAGAUAUCGGGAGGAACACCAGUGGCGAAGGCGGCUUCCUGGACCAGCACCGACGUUCAGGCACGAAAGCGUGGGGAGCAAACAGG
rnacentral:rRNA from 1 species